GACGAACGCUGGCGGCGUGCCUGACACAUGCAAGUCGGACGGUUCUUGUAUCUUCAAGCUUGCUUGCAGGUGCAAGGAUAGUGGCGGACGGGUGAGUAACGCGUGAACAUCUACCCAUUGGAGGGGGACAACCCGUCGAAAGGCGGGCUAAUACCGCGUAAGCCGCGAGGUGAGAGGCUGCCUAUUGGUGGCCGCCGAUGGAUGGGUUCGCGUCCUAUCAGCUGGUUGGUGGGGUAACGGCCUACCAAGGCGAGGACGGGUAGCCGGUCUGAGAGGAUGGCCGGCCACACUGGAACUGAGACACGGUCCAGACUCCUACGGGAGGCAGCAGUGGGGAAUAUUGGUCAAUGGGCGAGAGCCUGAACCAGCCAAGUCGCGUGAAGGAAGAAGGUUCUAUGGAUUGUAAACUUCUUUUGCAGGGGAAUAAAGGACGGUACGUGUACUGUUUUGUAUGUACCUUGCGAAUAAGGAUCGGCUAACUCCGUGCCAGCAGCCGCGGUAAACUAGUCU
rnacentral:rRNA from 1 species